rnacentral:rRNA from 1 species
AAACGACGAGUUUGAUCCUGGCUCAGGACGAACGCUGGCGGCGUGCCUAAUACAUGCAAGUCGUACGCUUCUUUUUCCACCGGAGCUUGCUCCACCGGAAAAAGAAGAGUGGCGAACGGGUGAGUAACACGUGGGUAACCUGCCCAUCAGAAGGGGAUAACACUUGGAAACAGGUGGUAAUACCGUAUAACAAUCGAAACCGCAUGGUUUUGAUUUGAAAGGCGCUUUCGGGUGUCGCUGAUGGAUGGACCCGCGGUGCAUUAGCUAGUUGGUGAGGUAACGGCUCACCAAGGCYACGAUGCAUAGCCGACCUGAGAGGGUGAUCGGCCACAUUGGGACUGAGACACGGCCCAAACUCCUACGGGAGGCAGCAGUAGGGAAUCUUCGGCAAUGGACGAAAGUCUGACCGAGCAACGCCGCGUGAGUGAAGAAGGUUUUCGGAUCGUAAAACUCUGUUGUUAGAGAAGAACAAGGAUGAGAGUAACUGUUCAUCCCUUGACGGUAUCUAACCAGAAAGCCACGGCUAACUACGUGCCAGCAGCCGCGGUAAUACGUAGGUGGCAAGCGUUGUCCGGAUUUAUUGGGCGUAAAGCGAGCGCAGGCGGUUUCUUAAGUCUGAUGUGAAAGCCCCCGGCUCAACCGGGGAGGGUCAUUGGAAACUGGGAGACUUGAGUGCAGAAGAGGAGAGUGGAAUUCCAUGUGUAGCGGUGAAAUGCGUAGAUAUAUGGAGGAACACCAGUGGCGAAGGCGGCUCUCUGGUCUGUAACUGACGCUGAGGCUCGAAAGCGUGGGGAGCAAACAUGAUUAGAUACCCUGGUAGUCCACGCCGUAAACGAAGAGUGCUAAGUGUUGGAGGGUUUCCGCCCUUCAGUGCUGCAGCUAACGCAUUAAGCACUCCGCCUGGGGAGUACGACCGCAAGGUUGAAACUCAGAGGAAUUGACGGGGGCCCGCACAAGCGGUGGAGCAUGUGGUUUAAUUCGAAGCAACGCGAAGAACCUUACCAGGUCUUGACAUCCUUUGACCACUCUAGAGAUAGAGCUUCCCCUUCG